UACGAAGGGUGCAAACGUUGCUCGGAAUCAUUGGGCGUAAAGCGCACGUAGGCGGCUUGCCAAGUCGGACGUGAAAUCCCUCAGCUCAACUGAGGACGUGCAUCCGAAACUGGCGAGCUUGAGUGCUGAAGAGGAUCGCGGAAUUCCCGGUGUAGAGGUGAAAUUCGUAGAUAUCGGGAGGAACACCAGUGGCGAAGGCGGCGAUCCGGGCAGACACUGACGCUGAGGUGCGAAAGCGUGGGGAGCAAACAGG
rnacentral:rRNA from 1 species